rnacentral:rRNA from 1 species
AUGCUUCUCCUAAAGACUAAGCCAUGCAUGCCUCCGAAUAGAAGAGCAAAUCUCUCUGAAUCUGCGAACGGCUCCGCAAACCAGUUGUAAACCAUAGCAAGCAUGCUCCGGGCCGGCCGCAAGGCUGGUCUUGGGCUAUAGGGAUAACCCUGGUAAUUCUGAGGCUAAUACAUGAACGUAACCCCCGUCUGAAGGGUAACCGGAUGGCGGGGACCGUGCGAGUAGGGCGCAAAGUUUAUUGGGAAUAGUCGCACAGUACGACCGCCAUACCAAACAGUAUCCGCUACGUCCCCUCACGGGGGCCGGUGGUGUCUGGGCGGCUCUUGCAAGGUGCUUCUGACCUAUCAACUAGAUGGCAGCGUAAAGGACAUGCUAUGGUGACAACGGGUACAGAGGAUAAGGGUUCGAUCCUGGAGAGUGGGCCUGAGAGAUUGCUCACACUUCUAAGGAAGGCAGCAGGCGCGCAACGUUCCCCUUGGGCAAUGCCCGAGGGCGUUAGGGGACAUAUGAAUGUCUGCCAUUUGGUGGACAAUUCAAAUGGGUCUGUUCUAAACAGCCUC